CUCUUCGGGCGAGCCUUGGCGGGGGAGCCCCUCACGGCUCACCGGAUUGUAUAUGGCCGGUCUGUCAACCCUGCCUCGUGCUCGCCCACCCCG
rnacentral:antisense_RNA from 1 species